rnacentral:rRNA from 1 species
CCUACGGGAGGCAGCAGUGAGGAAUAUUGGUCAAUGGACGAGAGUCUGAACCAGCCAAGUAGCGUGAAGGAUGACUGCCCUAUGGGUUGUAAACUUCUUUUAUAUGGGAAUAAAAUGUUCCACGUGUGGGAUUUUGUAUGUACCAUAUGAAUAAGGAUCGGCUAACUCCGUGCCAGCAGCCGCGGUAAUACGGAGGAUCCGAGCGUUAUCCGGAUUUAUUGGGUUUAAAGGGAGCGUAGGUGGAUUGUUAAGUCAGUUGUGAAAGUUUGGGGCUCAACCGUAAAAUUGCAGUUGAAACUGGCAGUCUAGAGUACAGUAGAGGUGAGCGGAAUUCGUGGUGUAGCGGUGAAAUGCUUAGAUAUCACGAAGAACACCGAUUGCGAAGGCAGCUCACUGGACUGCAACUGACACUGAGGCUCGAAAGUGUGGGUAUCAAACAGGAUUAGAUACCCCUGUAGUC